rnacentral:rRNA from 1 species
CACGAGGAAACUUGUGCUAAUACCGGAUAAGUCUUUACAGAGAAAGCUUUAUGCACCAUUGGAUGAGCCCGCACUUGAUUAGUUUGUUGGUAGGGUAAUGGCCUACCAAGACUGUGAUCAAUAGCUGAUUUGAGAGGAUGAUCAGCCACAUUGGGACUGAGACACGGCCCAAACUCCUACGGGAGGCAGCAGUGGGGAAUCUUGCACAAUGGAGGAAACUCUGAUGCAGCGAUGCCGCGUGAGUGAAGAAGGCCUUUGGGUUGUAAAGCUCUUUCGUCGGGGAAGAAAAUGACUGUACCCGAAUAAGAAGGUCCGGCUAACUUCGUGCCAGCAGCCGCGGUAAUACGAAGGGACCUAGCGUAGUUCGGAAUUACUGGGCUUAAAGAGUUCGUAGGUGGUUGGAAAAGUUGGUGGUGAAAUCCCAGAGCUUAACUCUGGAACUGCCAUCAAAACUUUUCAGCUAGAGUUUGAUAGAGGAAAGCAGAAUUUCUAGUGUAGAGGUGAAAUUCGUAGAUAUUAGAAAGAAUACCAAUUGCGAAGGCAGCUUUCUGGAUCAUUACUGACACUGAGGAACGAAAGCAUGGGUAGCGAAGAGGAUUAGAUACCCUCGUAGUCCAUGCCGUAAACGAUGUGUGUUAGACGUUGGAAAUUUAUUUUCAGUGUCGCAGCGAAAGCGAUAAACACACCGCCGGG